UACGUAGGGUGCGAGCGUUGUCCGGAAUUAUUGGGCGUAAAGAGCUCGUAGGCGGUUCGUCGCGUCGGCUGUGAAAACCUGGGGCUCAACCUCAGGCCUGCAGUCGAUACGGGCGGACUUGAGUACUGCAGGGGAGACUGGAAUUCCUGGUGUAGCGGUGAAAUGCGCAGAUAUCAGGAGGAACACCGGUGGCGAAGGCGGGUCUCUGGGCAGUAACUGACGCUGAGGAGCGAAAGCGUGGGGAGCGAACAGG
rnacentral:rRNA from 1 species